rnacentral:rRNA from 1 species
AGUGAACGCUGGCGGUAGGCCUAACACAUGCAAGUCGAACGGCAGCACAGUAAGAGCUUGCUCUUACGGGUGGCGAGUGGCGGACGGGUGCGGAAUACAUCGGAAUCUACUUUUUCGUGGGGGAUAACGUAGGGAAACUUACGCUAAUACCGCAUACGACCUACGGGUGAAAGCAUGGGAUCUUCCGACCUUGCGCGAUUGAAUGAGCCGAUGUCGGAUUAGCUAGUUGGCGGGGUAAAGGCCCACCAAGGCGACGAUCCGUAGCUGGUCUGAGAGGAUGAUCAGCCACACUGGAACUGAGACACGGUCCAGACUCCUACGGGAGGCAGCAGUGGGGAAUAUUGGACAAUGGGCGCAAGCCUGAUCCAGCCAUACCGCGUGGGUGAAGAAGGCCUUCGGGUUGUAAAGCCCUUUUGUUGGGAAAGAAAAGCAGUAGGUUAAUACCCCGCUGUUCUGACGGUACCCAAAGAAUAAGCACCGGCUAACUUCGUG